CCCUACGGGGCGCAGCAGGCGCGAAAACUUUACAAUGCGGGCAACCGUGAUAAGGGAACCUCGAGUGCCCGUACAUGCGGGCUGUCCAGGUGUCUAAAGCACACCUGAAGAAAGGGCCGGGCAAGACCGGUGCCAGCCGCCGCGGUAAUACCGGCGGCUCGAGUGGUGGCCACUUUUAUUGGGCUUAAAGCGUUCGUAGCUGGGUCGGUAAGUCUCUUGGGAAAUCUGGCAGCUUAACUGUCAGGCGUCUAAGAGAUACUGCUGAUCUUGGAACCGGGAGAGGUGAGGGGUACUUCGGGGGUAGGAGUGAAAUCCUGUAAUCC
rnacentral:rRNA from 1 species